AUCAUGGAGAGUUUGAUCCUGGCUCAGAACGAACGCUGGCGGCGCGUUUUAAGCAUGCAAGUCGGACGGCAGCGGGGAGCGAUCUCCGUGAGAGUGGCGAACGGGUGAGUAACACGUAGGUGAUCUGUCUCUGUUUUGGGGAUAGCCUGUGGAAACAUGGGGUAAUACCGGAUACGCUCUAGGGAGUAAAGGCCCUGGAGGGAAGGCGCGUAUGCGCCGAACGGGGAUGAGCCUGCGGCCCAUUAGCUAGUUGGCGGGGUAAGAGCCUGCCAAGGCGACGAUGGGUAGCCGGCCUGAGAGGGUGAACGGCCACACUGGGACUGAGAUACGGCCCAGACUCCUACGGGAGGCAGCAGCUAAGAAUCUUCCGCAAUGGGCGCAAGCCUGA
rnacentral:rRNA from 1 species